ensembl:lncRNA
AUGAGGGAAGUGAGGGUGAGGAAGCAAGACACAAUUUCAAGUAGAUUUCACAAGAGUAGCCAACCUUGGAGAAACAGAAAACAGAACACCGGGGUGGUUGGACCUGACUUCUUGUCGGUUGGGGGAAAGGAGCUGAGAUACGGAUUGGCAUCUGCUGCUUCCCUGCCAGAGGCCCUGCAGAGUCCUCUCGGUGCUGGCCCGAGGUACACGACCCUAAGCAGAGAGGACGGGGAUCUCCGUCAGCCUGGAAGAUGUGUUUAUCAAUGACCUUCGACAUAUCAGAGACAACUCCAAGUAAGAGGAAGGCAUUUGUCCCAGAAACUCAUGGAUCUGGGUGAGGAAGGAAUAUCCCAGGUAUGUGAGAAUGGAGAGAACAAAAUAAGGAAUGGUGGGGAUGGGCUGAACAGUGCUUUCCUGCAAUCAACUAUGAGGAGUUAAAUGCUGAUUGUUGCUAUAACAGAUCAAGAAAUACAGAAAAUUCUAAAGCCUAAAUCAAAGGAUAUUUCUAAUCUGUGAUUUCCAUGCAGAAGUCAGCAUAUUAAGCAGAAUAGGUUAUACUAAACUAGCAUCAAUACCUCUUUUUCUAUUUUAAAAGAUUUAUUUUAAAGGUAGAGCUACAGAGAAAGAGGGAUAUACAGGAACAUAGAGAGGAGAGAGAUAAACUGAGAUUCAGAGAGAGAGAGAGAGAGAGAGAGAGACAUAUGUCUGCUGGUUAACUCCCCAAGUGGUUACAACAUCCAGGGCUGGGCCUGGCUGAAACCAGGAGCCUAGAACUCCAUCCAGGUAUCCCUCCUGGGUGGCUAGGGUCCAAGUAUCUGAGCCAUCUUCCACUGCUUUCCCAGGUACAUUACCAGGGAGCUAGAUUGGAAGUGGAGUAGUCAGGUCUUGAACCAGGGUUCCUAUGGGUUGCUGGUGUUGCAGACAGUAGGCUUAACCUACUGUAUCAGAAUGCCAGCCCCUGUCUUUUUCCUUUUAGCGAGCAGUACUAAUUGAUGAAGACAAAAAAGACAUAAUAUGAUUUGCAUGUUAUAAGAAAGCAAAAAAAGUAUCAUUCCCAAUGAUAAAAAUACUUUGUACUUUUUUUAAGUGCUUAGAUAGAUGAUCUCUCACCCCCCUUUCUCUCUGCCCCUCUCCCAUCUCUUACCAUCUGCAAGAAAAUGUUCUAUUUUAUCCACACAAAAACACCCAUUUGGCAGAAAACCAAGGCUCAAUGAGAUUUAUUGACUUAAGUCUACACAGCUAGAAAAUUAAAUUUUGUCUUCAUCACAUCAAGCAUUAAACAAUUCUCUACAAAACUGUACCAAGCUAAUUUGUGUCCUAAAAGAUAGCUGGUUGAAAGAAGUGGUAAACAGUGGAGCUUUUAUUUAUCAAAUAUGAAAAUGAAAAACGAAUGUCCAUUUUAGGCACACACUUUUGUGGCAAAUGAUGACUAACAAUGUAGUUCUCCAUGUCAGUGUGACAACCUAUUAAAAGAGAGUGAUUUGCUCAGGUGAACAUUUCUCACCAUCCUGACCUGUUGUCCAUUUGAUGAAAAGCAUAUGUGGAUUCCCAAAUGUGCAGACCUAAUAUCUCCUUAGCAGGAUGAAUUCUGUGCAACUCACUGAUAUCAAUAAAAUCAGAAAAUUUCUAUUCGGAAAGAAUAGA